ensembl:lncRNA GFOD3P Gfo/Idh/MocA-like oxidoreductase domain containing 3, pseudogene
GGGACAACCAGGGACCGCAGCUCCCCGCUCCCCAGGUGUGGGGGCUCCGACACGAACGCCUCUGCUCGCAGGGCGGUGAGCGCAGAUCCCACGGGUCCCUCGGUCGGGGGUCGAGGCUGCUUCCGUUUCCAUCCCGGACCCGACAAUGGGCGGGAAAAAGAAGGCUUUACACGACUACGCGGCGGAGUUCACCGACCUGGUGGUGAAGCACCUGAUUGAGCACAGUGACUCUGGGGACACGUCUGUGGUGGAGACCCUUUACUGCAGGGCCUGCGAGCUGCCCGUGCGCGUGCGGAGGGACCGCAUCCUGGAACACCUGUCCUCGGGCAGGCAGCACGGCCUGCGGACGCCCAUUCUCAUGUAAAUGUCAGUGCCAACGCUGGUGUUUCAGGAGUCAUCCCAGCGGGCUGCGGGCUAUUUUAGGAUUCUCUGCCCUGCAAACGUUUCCAAAGUACGUGGACAGGCCGCCUGAUGACACUACGUUUACGGGAUCUGCUAGUGGCUUGCCUACUUAGGGAGUAAACCCUGUGAAGUCUCGCAGUUUUGUUAAAGUGUGCGUGGCCACCUGAAUGCUGCCUUAUCACAAGCCAGAUACAUACUGGUCUGUAGGGUAACUCCCCACUGUUGAUCCUCUGAGAUGAUUGUGGACUGGGUGCUGUGAGUCCUGCCACUUUGUUUAAGUGAAUGUGUCUUUUGUCCAGCUCAGCCGCCUCGGAUCUCGCUGCCACCAGCCUUACUGCACACCCGUGCCACCCGCCCUUGCCCCGUCAGCCUCAGCCUCAGCUCAUUCUCUCAGGCAGUCCCAGCAUUGGCACGGUACCUCCUCCCGCUGUGGGCCACACGUCUCUGCUCCCUGUCAACCCUCCUGCCAUCAGCACCACCACCAGCGACUUGUCUGCCCGGGAGGAUGCAACACCAUCUGCCUCCACCGGCCACCUUUCAGUGUUUCCUGCUUUCCAAGUAAAGAUACCAGCAGUGCCCUCAGAGCAGACCAGCCAGAGUUUUUCUGAAGCCUCCCACAGGGUGCUCCCCGGAGGAGGCCCGAGAUGCUCUCGUGACUUUGGAGCCGGGGUGGCUGGCCACCUUGGCCUGGGCAUCUUUGGGGUGGGCUUCGGGAGCCCGGCACUGCUGCAGAGUGUGGUGGAUGAGAACAGCUGCUGCUUGCUGUACGUGGUGGAGGACCAGCUGUGUGAUGUGGAGCAAGCCUUCAGAGCUGAGCAUUUGGGCCAACACCAGAGUGGUUCGGGAACAGGAUGCAGACAUUGUCCUCAACGACCAGCGGCACUUUGAUCCGGUUUUCCAGUUCUUGCACAAGCAAGUUUGUGUCAGCCACGCCCUGGGGAGGAUCCACUGGAUCACCGCCGUCACUGCCUGUUCCCGGCGGCCUCUCCGGCUUCCCUAAAGAGAGCAGUAGCUUCCCUCGAGACCAGAAGCCAGAGCUCACCCUCCCUUGUGUCCAGGUGGGACUUUCUACAACGCUGCUGUGCACGACGUGGAUGCCGUAUGCAUGUUGCUGGGGGAAGCCACUCCGGACACUGUGUUUUCUCUGGGACAUGUCUUCUGCCCAGAUAUGGCCGCCUUAAAAGAUGCAGAUGCUGUUGUGAUCAGCAUGAAGUUUCCCUGUGAGGCCGUGGUUAGCGUGGACAUCAGCCAGCACUGCACAGACAGCUGCGACCAGGACGUCAGCCAGCACUGCACAGACAGCUGCGACCAGAGACUGGAGGUGACCCUUGCCCUUUUCCACCCUUCGCCAGUCCACUGUGAAAAGCUGGGUUGAUUGUGCGGGUUAGAUAGAGGUCAUCAGCCGGGUUGAUUGUGUGGGUUAGACAGAGGUCAUCAGCCAGGUUGAUUGUGUGGGUUAGAUAGAGAUCAUCAGCCUGGUAGAUUGUGUGGGUUAGAUAGAGGUCAUCAGCCAGGUUGAUUGUGCGGGUUAGAUAGAGAUCAUCAGCCGGGUUGAUUCUACAGGU